GCUUCUGGAGUUCUGGUGCCUUCAAUUGAAAUAUCACACCCACCCAGUAAAAAAGUCAAAAUCGCACAAGGGAGUAGAAUGGCUGUAGCUUCUCUUGUAGAUCUAGAGUUCUUGCGAUCUCAGCCUCGUCCGGUUGCACAACAUCUCAUCUCUUCUUGAAAAGCUGGUGAAAUGGAUGGUUUUGAAGCAAUCAGACACUUGGAAACAAAGCUGAGAGAUGUAGCUCUCAAGGUUGAAGAGGAAAUCGAGUUCCAAGUAGCAGAUCUGCACCAGCAGGAAGAGGAUCUGAGAAUAGCUUGGCCUUCUCAUCAUAUUUUGCAGAAAGCAAUUGAAGAUGAUGAGAUCCAGGACGAGUUGGUCAAAGCCAUCGCCCUGCAAGGAAGGAAGACUGCGGUUGAUGCUUUUCCAAUGUGUGGUGAAGCUUGUAUGAUGGGUGGUUCCUACCGGCAUGCUGACUUAAUGGUUGGAAAACACAAUGAGUUCACCACUAUUAAGGAGAUGCAGAGUGGAAAUCCAUCCAAGCAACUGACAAGUUUUCUCCAUUUUGGGAUGGGAGGAAUUGGUAAGACAACUUUAAUUAUGUGAAUUUUUGAAGAUCCAUCAAUUGUUUCUCACUUACAAGGGAAUGUGUGAGUUGUUGUUGCAUCGCAGCUUCAUAAUAAGAGUCAAAUACUCUAGGAUAUUCUUAGUUCAUAAUAAUGUUAAUUUAGAAUUAUUGUGAGACUAAUUGUUGAGAAAUGCAAAGGAUUGCCUUCGUCAAUUGCUGUGACAGCAUGUUUAGUUUCCAAACUCAACACACUAGAUGAGUGGAAGAAUAUUGUUGGAAUUCUAAAUUUGUCAUCAACCAUGGCUAUUGAUGAAGAAUGCUCAAGAAUACUCUCAUUGAGUUACAUUCACUUGCCUCACAAUUUGAUGAAGAAUGCUCAAGAAUACUCUCUUUGAGUUAUAACCACUUGCCUCACAACUUGAAAGCUUGUUUUUUAUAUUGAGGUGUUUUUUCAGAGGAAAUACUCUCAUUGAGUUACAAUCAUUUGCCUCACAACUUGAAAGCUUCCUUUUUAUAUUGAGUGUUUUUUCAGAGCAUAAAGAGUUUUAUGCUAACAAUCUUGCAAGUUAUGAGCUGCCGAAGGACUUGUAAAGGCAUAUGAGGGUUGCCGAAAGACUUGUAAAGGCAUUUGAGGGAGGGACCAUUUAUCAUAUCAAAAUGAGAGUUGGGAGAUUUAUUUUAGGAAGUACCUAUAAAUCUCAAGAUCUUGAAUUUGGAGCAAUUGGGAGAUCGAUUGUUGAGAAAUGCAAAGGAUUGUCUUUGGCAAUUGGUGUAGUAGCUGGUCUAUUUUCCAAACUCAACCCACUAGAUGAGUGGAAGAAUAUUGUUGGAACUCUAAAUGCAUCUUCAACCACGGUUAUUCAUGGACGAAGAAUGCUCAAGAAUACUCUCAUUGAGUUAUAAUCACUUGCCUCACAACUUGAAAGUUUGUUUUUUGUAUUUGGAUAUUUUUCCAAAGGAUAACGAGUUCUGGGUUGCAAAAUGACUCGUUAGGCAUAUGAGAAUAAGAGCUUUGAUGAAGUGGCUGAAAUACAUAUACAAGAACCAAUAGAUAGAAAACCUUAAUUCUGGUGGUAAAUUGUGGGCAAGGACAUGAGAUCAAACAUUUACUGCAACAAUGUAAAAGUUACAUCCAAUGUGGAGUCCAUGCAGUUGAACGAACGAACCGGGAUGUUUAUUGGCCUGAAUCACCUCCGAUCCACUCUUCUUGAAUAUCUCCGAUCCAUUUCUACUUUCUUUUGGUAUGUGGCAUGCAGUAAUUUUUGUUUCAUAGCUAAAAAAGAAAAAGAAAAAUUAAAAAUGAAGUACAGUAGACUCCACCUGCCAUGCAGCGCCGGAGAAGGGGGACAGCCAUGCAGCGCUAGACACUAUAUAUGACCAUCAGCUCACAUCUCCGAGCAGUUCAAACUGGUUAUGGAUUUAGGCAUGCAGAUUUCCAAUAUCGAUCUGCCCUAUGAAGCAACAACAGUUAACUUGAGCUUAAUGGAUCCGGUGAUCAACUUGAGGUCAGGUUCUAUGAUUGUGUUACAUAAAUUCACUUGGGCAGCCUGCUCAGUCCUAGAACCAUGGUAGAGCUACCAGUGGGCCGGGCCUUCAAUUCCAUUAUCAGCAAAGAAGGAUGAGGUCUGCAGCUGAACCAUCCUCCGCGUCAGCAGAACUUCAGGGGUGACCGGAGGACGACCUGAUCGCCUGCCUACGUGCACCACCGCUCGCCCUCAUCUACCUUGAGCACUGUAAAAAUUCUAAAAAGUAGGCGUUGGAGGAGGAAGAAGAUGAUAUAUAGAGAAGGGCAUUAAUUUGUAUAUAACAAACCAUUAGUUGAGACUUAAGUUCAUACUUCUCAUUUUCAUUCUGUAAGUUUCUUUUGCUAUCAAUAAACAUUUCACGCACAGUUCUGCUUUCCCCUUUGAAGCUCUACCCUCUGCCGCGUAACUCCAUCUUCGUCGCCGUGCUUCUCAGUUGGGCAUUCUCCGGUGUUGCGUUGGGCUUGGAUUCGGAUCAGGUGGCACUGCUGAAGCAGAGCUCGACCGGAGCCUUGUAAUUCGUUUUUGGGUAUUAGUUUAGUUGCGCAAUGCACGUAUAGCCUGUAAAAUACUAUAUUUAUAUUUAAGGACUACUAUUAAGUGUUUUUUGUUUAA